rnacentral:rRNA from 1 species
CCUACGGGUGGCAGCAGUGGGGAAUAUUGGACAAUGGGCGAAAGCCUGAUCCAGCCAUGCCGCGUGUGUGAAGAAGGCCUUCGGGUUGUAAAGCACUUUCAGUGGGGAAGAAAGCCUUGGGGCUAAUACCCUCGAGGAAGGACAUCACCCACAGAAGAAGCACCGGCUAACUCCGUGCCAGCAGCCGCGGUAAUACGGAGGGUGCGAGCGUUAAUCGGAAUUACUGGGCGUAAAGCGCGCGUAGGCGGUCUGAUAAGCCGGUUGUGAAAGCCCCGGGCUCAACCUGGGAACGGCAUCCGGAACUGUCAGGCUAGAGUGCAGGAGAGGGAGGUAGAAUUCCCGGUGUAGCGGUGAAAUGCGUAGAGAUCGGGAGGAAUACCAGUGGCGAAGGCGGCCUUCUGGACUGACACUGACGCUGAGGUGCGAAAGCGUGGGUAGCAAACAGGAUUAGAUACCCCAGUAGUC